UAUAUACCACGAUUCGCUUCGGGAAAGAAUAUAAGAAAGAAAGGAAGAAAGAAAGAAAGAAAGAAAGAAAAAAAAGAGAAAAGAGAGAGAGAGAGAGAGAGAGAGAGAGAGAUGAUUCUCUUCUGAAACCGUAGAGAAGUCUCUCGUAUUUUCGUUGGUCUGCCAAUCAACUGUCUUCUUUUCAUUUUCAGAGUCUUCCUGGUUAGAGAGAGCAAAAGCAAUCCGGGGGCCUACGUUUUGACUUACAAGUAUAGCGACAAGGUCUUUCACGCUCAGAUCCAACCGGUAUUCGACGAGAGACGCAACUGUUGGCUCUAUACUCUCGACAAGGGUGCAACAAAGUUUUACGAUCUUCUCCAGCUGAUCGAAUUCUAUCAACUGAACGCGGGCUCUUUGCCGACUCGUCUUACCCAUUACGUACAAAAUGGCGUCCCGGCGCCAAUUCCUAGGCCCGAGGAUGGCGGUGCUUCACCGUCGCCGCCCGAAGCCAAUCAAAGAUUCAGUGGCAAACCAGAUCCGUCCUCGGGCAUUUGAGUAUAGGAGAACCAGCGACCCGGUGCCGCUAACGUCGAACGUGUUACAAGCAAUAGAAUCGUUACCGUUCGUUCUGAUAACAUCGAUGAGAAUGUUAACAACGACGAGAACGUUCUCGUUAAUAACAACAGCAACAUUAGAAAUAAUAAUAAUAAUAACAACAACAACAACAACAACAACAACAACAACAACAACAACAAUGACAGUAUCGAUGUAAACGUCGUCCUACCAUCACAGGAUUCAAGACGUACAACAACAACGACCAUACAACAUAAUGGCCCUAGCACUACUGCUAUCGUUGCUGUCGUUGAUGUCGUCGAGAAUCAUCAGCUCGAACGACGUCAACGUUAUAAAAUUAACGACGAGGACGUAUACAAAUUGAAUGCUUACUUUCGACGACAACAACAACAAGAACAACAACAAGAACAACAACAACAACAACAACGUUCGACUCCGCGAUCGGGUUGCUGGAAUCUCUGCCUUUGCAGUUACAAGUGGGACUUGUAACUUCUAUUCCCAACGAAAUAAACAUUACAGGAUCUUAAACACCUCGUCCGUGUUUUUAUUUUUAUUUUUUUUUUUUUUUAUUUUUUUUUCGCUGCUCUCAUCCCAGAGACGAUGCGUCCUUUCUUCGACGCCCUCUCUCUCAUUAAAGAAGAUGAAGAUGAUGAAGAUGAUGAAGAUAAAGAAGAUGAUGAAGAAGAUGAAGAAGAAAA